AGGACGAACGCUGGCGGCGUGCUUAACACAUGCAAGUCGAGCGGAAAGGCCCUUCGGGGUACUCGAGCGGCGAACGGGUGAGUAACACGUGAGCAACCUGCCCCUGGCUCUGGGAUAGCCUCCGGAAACGGGGAUUAAUACCGGACAUUCACUGCCUGCCGCAUGGUGGGUGGUGGAAAGUUUUUCGGCCAGGGAGGGGCUCGCGGUCUAUCAGCUUGUUGGCGGGGUAACGGCCCACCCAGGCGACGACGGAUA
rnacentral:rRNA from 1 species